CAAGAUCACAGCCAUGACUUUUAUUAUUUCAUUUUUUAGAUUCACUUAAUAGUGCUAAUUGUUAGAUUUAUGAGUUAUUUGAUUAUAGCCUCUGGAUCCUGCUAUGCUGAGCUUGAUUUUAUCAAGCAGAAAAACAACCAAUCAGGUACAUUAAGGAAAUAAAAUGACAGAAAAUUAUUUCUGAUUAAUACUGUUGUUUCCCAUUUGUGAGAGUUUUCCUAGUUUGGAAAGAAGAUAAGCAGUGAGGGAAUUUUCAGUAGUCUGGGGUACACAAAAGCAUUACAAACUUCAAGCCAGCUUUUCCAAAUUUUCUGAAAGAGUGCCUGCCCACGCUCUCCCAGAUUUUUGGUUCUUCUUUUUCUGACUCAGAUGCCUUCCUGUGAACCUCCUUUUGUCCCUGUGCUCCUCCUGAGCUGGCAGAAGCUCAGUUCCCUCAGGUUAGGAAAGGAAGAACAGUCUGUCAUUACUGGAUGCAAGCAUAAGCAUUCAUUUCCUCACCAGGCAAAGUACUACACUGCUGCCAACUAACUCUACGUUUUCCAGUAUUUUGUGAUUUCCUCUCAACCUUUCAUUGGCUUCUCCUUCAAACCUCUUCAUGGCUCCUUACUGAUGGUAACCAGAGCUGGAAAAAGGCGGCUGUGAGGUGAGUGUGAGAAGAAAGGUGCACAGAUGUAAUGGUGAAGGAUGUUUGUGACUUGGCAGAAGAGACCGAGUUCAAGGGCACAGGUGGCAGCACAAGUGAAAGCAUUCACGGGUGCCAACAGCUCCCCAUGAGGAGUAUCCGGGCACACACAGCACCGCCAGGCAGUGCCACAGCCUGAUUCUCAGGACUCCAAGAAACAGAGUGACUAAUUUCAGAGAAAGGCUGUGUGUUUACAGAGCAAUCAGGAAGUCUAGAGCAAGUUUAUAAAAGGAUCAGAUUUGUCAAGAGACUAACACCUGGGAAAAUGUAUCAAAACCACUCCUCAAUACACUAGAAAACUGGACAUCUUACUCAUCAACCUUAUUCUGUUUCAUUCUUUGGUCUUCUGCCUCUGAGACAGUACUUACUAUGGGAUCUCAUUACCAAUAACUAAAAUAAAAUAUUAAACAUAUAUUGCCUUUCUCAUGUGGUAAGGCUUCUACAAGGUCAUAAUAACAUAUUAUUGCCAAGCAGUUUUUACAAGACCUAUUAAACAGGUCAGUCUAUGAGUUGAAAACAAGCUAUUUAUUUAAGGUUCUCAGUUUGCACUGAGUGCCUUUUCACCUCAUUAUAUGGCUGUGUUUCUGACCCUGGUUUGCAGUUUUAUAGAGAACAGCAUGGGCUCAAGGGCAAAUAAAACAAUGACUGCUUUGGUACACUCCCAUGUAAAGAGUUCUUUUGUUAGGAGGCAGCUACUAAAACUUGACAAUCUUUAUCAUAGGAAAGUAAGCAUAUGGAAGCACAGGAAAACAUAUAAGCUAAGGAAAAGUGACUUUUGUGUCCAAUAUUUUUCCUAACUCACGCAUUUUUACUGGAGAAAAAGAAGGAAUGGGCAGUCUCACACAACUUGCACCAGGCUUUUGAACAGAUGCAUUUCAUAAACUGAAAGAAAUGGUGCAACAUUUUCCUAGUGUUGGACCAAGGGCUCUGAUCCAACAGACACAGGGCUUUUUCCAUUCAGCAGGUAGGGAGAGAGUGCUUAUUACACAUGUCAUCUUUUUCCCAUGAAAAAUAUGUAUUCUGAAUUAGUAGGUAAGAAA
rnacentral:lncRNA from 1 species